GAUGAACGCUGGCGGUAUGCUUAACACAUGCAAGUCGAACGGAUGUUUUCGGACAUUAGUGGCGGACGGGUGAGUAACGCGUGAGAAUCUGCCUAUAGGUUGGGGACAACAGAUGGAAACGUCUGCUAAUACCCGAUGUGCCGAGAGGUAAAGGCUUUAGUGCCUGUAGAUGAGCUCGCGUCCGAUUAGCUAGUUGGUUGGGUAAAGGCUGACCAAGGCGACGAUCGGUAGCUGGUCUGAGAGGAUGAUCAGCCACACUGGGACUGAGACACGGCCCAGACUCCUACGGGAGGCAGCAGUGGGGAAUUUUCCGCAAUGGGCGAAAGCCUGACGGAGCAAUACCGCGUGCGGGACGAAGGCUUUUGGGUCGUAAACCGCUUUUGUUAGGGAAGAAGAACUGACGGUACCUAACGAAUCAGCAUCGGCUAACUCCGUGCCAGCAGCCGCGGUAAUACGGGGGAUGCAAGCGUUAUCCGGAAUUAUUGGGCGUAAAGCGUCCGCAGGUGGUUUAUCAAGUCUGCUGUCAAAGCGUGGGGCUUAACCCCAUAAAGGCAGUGGAAACUGAGAGACUAGAGUACGGUAGGGGUAGCGGGAAUUCCCAGUGUAGCGGUGAAAUGCGUAGAUAUUGGGAAGAACACCAGCGGCGAAGGCGCGCUACUGGGCCGAAACUGACACUCAUGGACGAAAGCUAGGGGAGCGAAAGGGAUUAGAUACCCCUGUAGUCCUAGCUGUAAACGAUGACAACUAGGUGUUGCGCG
rnacentral:rRNA from 1 species